rnacentral:lncRNA from 1 species
AUCAGAUGACCUGUGCGGGCGGCAGCCUCCUGCCCUCCUCCCCUUCGUGCGCCGGCUGGAGCGAAGAGUUCUUUUGACAGCCGUGAGCUUCCCCGCCAGGAACUUACUGGGGCUGCAUCACCCUAGAAACGUGGCUUUGGGCUGUGGAAACGCUGCCUCUGUGGAAGUCUCUCCUCGCGGGGGUGGACGGGUCGCUGCGCGCCCAGCGUUCUUCUGCGGUUCUCACAGCCCGCCGCCGCCGCCGCCUCGGGGACCUUUGCGGGGAGGCCUCAGGCACGUCCUCGACCUCAGUUGCCACGUGCACAUGCUGGUGCCUUCCAGGUCGGUCUUUCUCCACCAGACUCCACCUGGAACUUUCUUCCUUUUCGUCCUGUGCUGGCCUAACCCCUGCUCGGCCUCGGCCCUCAGCUGCCGGCUCUAACAAAGCCUCUGUCUUUCCCAGACCCCUGUGACCAGGCUGGAGUAUAGUGGCAUGAUCAUAGAUCACUGCAGCCUCAAACUCCUGGGCUCAAGCGAUCCUCCCACCUCAGCCUCCAUAUAGCUGGUGGGGACCAAGUUUCUAACACAUGAAUGUUGGGAGACACAUUCAGACCAUCGCAGUGGCCUUAUAAAAAGAGACACAAGAGCUUGCUCUCUGCCAUGUGAGAAUACCACAAGAAGACUGUCCUCAGCAAAUCAGAAAGCGGGUGGACCCUCAUCAGACACCAGAUGUGCCUGCACCUUGAUCUUGGACUUGCCAGCCUUCAGAACAGUAAGAAAGAAAUGUGUGUUGUUUAAGCCACCCAGUCUAUGGUAACUUGCUAUAGCAGCCCACUAGGAGACCCCAAGAUAUUUAAAAACUCAUCAGCACCUGCUUUCUGCAUCUGGACCCUGAUCUUCUGGUGGGUUUACCAGUUACUUGUAGAGUGUCCCUGUGAUAGUUUUAGGUGUCAACUUGACAGGAUUGAGGGAUGCCUAGAUGGCUGGGGAAGCACUGUUUCUGAGAAGGACCAUGUUUUUGGAGGAGACUGUUUUAUGAGUGAAUUUCAGGGGACACAUUCAGAUCAUGGCAGUGGCAUUAUAAAGAGAGACACAAAAGCUUGCUCUCUCUCUCUGCCAUGUAAGACUACCACACAAAGACUGCCAUCUGCAAACCAGAAGCAGGUGGGCUUUCCUCAGACACCAGAUCUGCCUGCACCUUGAUCUUGGACUUGCCAGCCUUCAGAACUCUAAGAAAGAAAUGGUAGCAUGGCUUGGUCUAAGUUGGAAGGCCUGAGAAACAAGCACAUGGUGGAACUGAGUUCAAGGAUAAAGACUUGAGAAUACCUGCUCAGUGGACUGAGUAGGGAAGAUCAACCCUCAAUGUAGGCAGGCACUAUCCAAUCACCUGAGGGCCCAGAUGGAACAAAAAGGUGGAAGAAGGGUGAAUUCUCUCUUCCAGAGCUGUGACACCCUUCUCAUGCCCUUGUACCACACAACUCUAGGUCCUUUGGCCUUUGGACUCUGACACUUGCACCAGUGGCCCUCUGGGGCUCUCAAGCCUUUAGCCUUGAACUUAGUUACACCAUGUGCCUCCUUGUUUCUCAGGCCUUCCAACUUGGAUCAGGCCAUGCCACCGGCUUCUCUGAUUCUCCAGCUUGCAGAUGGUAUAUUGUGACCCUGGCAUUUAAUAACUAUGACUUUGGUCUUAAGCAAUUUUCUUCCUCUGUGGAUUGAUAUUUACAUAUCAAUGUGGAUAAUAAUUUCUUACCACGGUAACUGUUGUGAGGUAAAAAUGAGUUAACAUAAGUAAAACCGAGCACAUGCAAACCAUCCGAAAUGGUUAAUACUUACUAUUUGUACUUGAAGAAAUAAAUGUUUUUGACAAUAAACUUCUUGUGCAGUUUUCCUCA